GAUUAGGGAAGCUUAAGUCCAUGAAUGAAAAGUAAAGUUGAUGUUUUGCUGUCAGAGGAGCUUUGGGGUGUUGCCAGACAAGAGAUUUUCCUCAGCAGCAAUGAGAUGGAGCCUCCACUGAAAAGUGAAGCAUCAGGACUUAAAAACAAGUCUGUGACAUGGAGGGCAGCAAACUACAUGUGAGACUCAGUGGUCUCCAGCAUGAAAUGGAUGAACAGGUAACUGUGCUGCAAGUAAUUCACCACUCACCUCAAAUCCCCCCCAUGAUGAAAAGCAAUUGAAUUUAGGAAAAAACAGGCUGGCAGAACCUUUCAAUGAACUGCCCGAGGACAGGGAAGACCAGCCUCUCCAGGCUGAAAACUUGUGGCAAGGCUGGUGGCAACCAAGAGAUGUGAGUGGCCAGCAUCUGAGGCCAUCUGCCCUACCAGUCAACACUUUCAGAACAAUUUGGAGCACAGGGUGCUAAGGUGUGUUGAUUAUGCAAAAUGACCAAAAACAUUCAGCCCUGAAUGAGCCUGUGGAAAGAUGCAGAAGGAUCUUGUGACUGAGUGACUGGGUUAUUAAAAUGCUGGAUGAAAUUCAAGGUUGCUAAGUGAGAAAUACUACAUGCAGGCCUCAAAGCCCUCUUUUGACAUUGCCCAAACCUCCAACAAACAAGUGAGCAACUUUUGUUGACCUUGGUCUGAGUCCUGCAACAGAAAGGGAAAAUUAAAAAAAAAAGGUGGUUUGUAAUCUCUGCAAUCUCCAGUUUUUUAGCUGCCAAGUUGGAUACUGGUUUAGGUGCUGGACACCAAGUACCAAAUCUCACAUGGCCUCCAGCUUCCCCAUCUCCUCAGAAUCCUUGUACGCCUUUAUCAGCCUGACUAAACUGCCAUCUAGACCAACAGCAUGAAGUGACUUUAGGCACGGUACAAAAAUGCUCACUUGUCUUUUUUUUUUUUUUUUUUGGAGCAAAGUAACUAAACUUUUCACUUUCAAAACAUUUUUUUCCAGCCUGGAAUCAUGGUUGGAAGUCUUUGAUCCAUCUAUUCCAAUUUCUGAUGCAAAGCAGGACAAAGGACACAAAUGUCACAUGUGGAUAAAAGAUGUUUAAAGACAUCUUCAGUGUGUGGCUGAGAACUUGCAUAUGAUUGCACGUGAGCCCUGCUCCCUAGGAGCAGGAAAAGGUCUUUCCAACCCUUCUGGUCUCCCAGGCAAGGUCAGUCACUAUUUCUUGCUCUUGGAUGUAUCUAUGCAUGGCUAUAUAUGUCUGGCAACAGAACAUCUCUUUUGACCCAAUUCAGAAAUACUCUGUGAUGCUUCUUAGCACUUUUGACCAAGACAUUUAGCCCUUUUGAGAGUUUGUAUCAUUUCUAUGUAUCAAAAAUGGUACCAGUUUUGUCUGUCAAUUCCCUGUCCUUCUAUAAAUAUUACUUAAACUGUAGUUUUUUUCCAUUCCUUCAUGAUUCCUCGCCUCCUCCCCCCUCCACUGGUUUCUCAUUGGCUCUUGUCCAUGCCCUGUCAGACUAAGCACUGACGUCAUUUGCUUGCCCAUCCACCCAGGCUUUUCUUUAAAUGUCUUCCCCCAUGCUUUUAAAAACUGACCUCAGCAAACCGUGGAUUUCAGCAGCCAGUGCUUUUUUCUCAGUGUGGAGGUUAGUGUGCUUUGCAAAGCAGCGUUUGCAGGAAGGCAGCGACUGCGCCGUGCUUCACUUUCAGCAUUGCUCACUCCAACUCCCCAGGCAGCCUCGGGCUUUGUGGAGGGGUUUGCUCAUCCCUACAGCACCCCAAGCACCCCACAGGCUACUGUGCUCCAGGUCAUCUGUGCCUGGAACUGGAGCAGUGCUCAGCUGGAGAUCCUGUCAAGGAUCCUCCUUAUUGCUAACUGCCUGGAAAGUGCUUCAUCAUUCCCUUCUGAGCACAUUCUGCAUUUUCCAUAUACAGAGCAGACUCAUCUGGUGAGUGCUUCUCUUUUUUUUGCCUUGUUUUGAUUAUUUUCCCGAUUUCAGCCAAUAAAAAGAAAAUAUUACUGUUAGGAUUGAUUUUUCUUUAAAUGUAACUAGAACAGCAUGUUAGUUCCUUAAGCAUUCAAGUAUUGUUAUUUUUCUCUGAGGUGAUAUGAGCAGCUGAAGACCUUUAAACAGACAGCUAAAUUAUUCUGUUGUCCCUCUCUUCCUUUUCUCCUGACCAUAGUUGCUGUAGUUGUUACAAGGAUUAUUUUUUGUUAAUGUAGGUCAAGCUUUAUUAUUAUUUCUAUUAGUUAUUCCUAUUUCUAAGUAUUUUUGUCACAUGGCCACUUACUCAAGGAAGUUCACUCACUGAAAGUUAUCUUAUGUUGCUAAAUCACAGCCUUUUGAAAAACUGGGAAAAUACUGCUCUUUCCACAAUCUGCAAGUUCACUUAUUUCACUCUAAGGAAAAGUUACAGGACAACACACAGCUCUCAGCUGUGACAUUUUGUUCUGGCUGAUGCCUCAAUUUGUUUCUCGGUUGAUCCCUUGUCCUUAGGCAACCAUCAAUCUUUACCCAAUUUUCAUCUGUCAUAAGGACAUCUAAAAUCAUUGCCAUACUUGGGCAUUCCAUCACUUGUAAAUUGAUGAGAAAUUCCCCCUGGCACAGCAUAUUCUUUGGUAUCCCAAGUCAAAGUUUCCUAUUGACAACACAAUUUUUCUUGUCAAGCAAAGCAGGGAGGUACUUACAAAAUAAAUCAACAUGUUUUUUGGGGAGGGUUCAGGAGUAUUUAUAGAAGACCCUUCACUGCCUUGAUGAAAUUGUGCGUCAGAGCAUGUUUGGCUAUCAGCUGUAGAGUGAAUAUCACUUUUAACAUCGCUUGUAAACCAAAUUCAUAAUGGCUCUUGCCUAUUCCUUUAUCCAACAGGUUAGACUGGUCUAGCAGUUCUACCAUAUGGCUGUGACCCUUAAAAAUAUCAGUUAACCACAUUUCUUCCUACCCUGAUGAUUUCUAUUUCCUCUUGCACUUUGCCCAGAUGCAGUCUGCUCUCGAAGCUGGAAAUGCUGCCUCUUCCCAUCUGUUGUGACAUUUGUCCAGCUUGAUCAUGAUGGCUUUACCAUCACUCCUAGCAUAAUCACCAUGUGCAGCAGAUUGCCAGAUGUUUUCAGGAGCCUGUCCCUGCAUUGUCCAGCUGUAUUUCCAAUGAGACAGUACCUCCACCGUGUUCUGCAUUAAUUCUGACCUCUCCUCUUGAAAGGAGGUUUCUUCCCUGUAGCCAGAGUACUAGACCUACUUGGUCAUCACCUGUGAGUUCUGGAGCACCCUGUGUCACAGGUACCCAAGACACAGCAACCAUAAAUGAAUGAAGAGUAUGGCCAGAGGUAAAAGGCUUAGAAAACUGUCAAGCUUCCAGAUCAAUUGAGACACAAAAACACCUUUCUAUGCAGCUUUGUCCUCUCCUAACUCUUGACUAAGAAACAUGAUAAAUAAAAUAAUACAACAGGUUAGCUGGAAUCCAAAGGUGUUCUGCUGAAGGCUGUCAGCAUUGCAUUUAGGUCCUUCCAAGGAAUCCUGAUAUGGGGAAAGCUAACUCACACCACCGCGGGUCAUGUGGGAUGAGUGACAAAUGCCUCCAGCAGAAGGGUGCUGGGUGGAAAAUACAGGGCCUUGACUGACUGGACAGACAAGUCAGACUCUCUCAGUGAUAUGAUCUAAAAGAGAUGGGAUCCAGGAAUCAGCGAAGGGAGGGUGCAGGUUCACUUAACACAAGGAAGAAGAUGUGGGCUGCUUAGUAGUUAGGUUUCCUGAACCCACUGAAGCAAGUAAAGCACCAUCCCACCCUCAUGUGGUCAGGUGCAAGGAAAGUGAUGCUCCCCGCCCUCCUCUCUGUGGGAAUAUCUGCUAGUUUCCAUGAAGAAAUUCAGUGGGCCUGGUCAGAAUCCCAGGAUGGUUGGAAGGGACUACCAGUGGAGUAAUCUGGUCUCAACCCCUGUCAUCAAGCAGGGCUGUCCCAGACGACAUGGGACAGGAUUGCCCCCAGACAGUUCUGGAAUAUCUGCAGUGAGGGAGACUCCACAACCUCUCUGGGCACUCAGCUCCAGUGCCCAGACACCUGCCCAGUAAAGUUCUUCCUUUGUUCACAUGGAACUUCCUGUGUUCCAGUUUCUGCCUGUUGUCUCAUGUCUUCUUGGCACCACCAAGAUCAGGAGUCUGGCUCCUUCCUCUGACACCCAGCCUGCAGAUACUUAUAGACAUUGAUGAGGUCUCCUCUCAGACACUCUCACCAAGCCUGAACAGGCCCAGCUCCCUCAGCCUUUCCUCAUGAGGCACUUCCUCACCUAACAAUCUUCAUUCCCUUUUGCUAGACCUGCUCCAGGAGCUCCAUGUCUCUCUUGGAUGGAGGAGCCCAGAACGGGACACAGCACUGCAGAUUUGCCUCACCAGGGCUGAGUGGAGCCACACCUCCCUUGCCCUGUGGGCAAUGCUCUUCCUAAUGCAUCCCAGGACACCACUGGCUUUGUGACUACCAGGACGCACUGCUGGCACAUGGAGAGCUUCUUGUCCACCAGGACCCCCAGGUCCUUCUCUGAAGAGCUGCUUCCCAGCUGGUCUGCCCCGAGCCUGUGCUGGUACAUGGGGAUAUUUUUCCACACAUGUAGGGCCCUGCAUUUGCCUUUGCUGAAUUUCAGAAGUCUCUUCUCUGCCCAUCUCUCCAAGCUGUCCCUCUGAAGGGGUGCACAACACUCUGGGGUAUUGGGCACUCCUCCCAGGUUGGUGUUAUCAAUGAACAUGAUGAGAAAGCAUCACCCUUCAUCCAAGUCAUUGAUGAGUAAGUUAAACAAGAAUGGGCCUGGUACUGAACUUUGUGGGACACCACUAGUGACAGGCCUUCAGCUAGACCCUUUGCCACUGACUAUGACCCUCAAGAUCUGCUGUUCAGCCAGCUCCCAAUCCACCUCGCUGUCCACUCAUCCAGUCCACACUUCCUAAGUUUGUCUAUGAGAAUCUUGUGAGAGACAGUGCCGAAAGCCUUGCACAAGUUGAGGCAGACAAUAUCCCCUGCUCUGCCCUCACCCAUCCAGGCAGCUGUCUCGUGGUAGAAGGCAAUCAUGUUGGUCAAGCAUAAUUUGCCUUUAGUGAAGUCAAGCCGACUCUCCUGCUCGCCUUCUUGUAUUCCACGUGCUUACAGAAAACCUCCAGAAUGAGGUGCUCCAUCGCCUUGUUGGGAUUGAGGUGAGGCUGACUGGCUGACUGGUUUCCUGGGUCCUCCUUCUUGGCCUCUUUGAAGAGUGGGGUGAAAUUUGCUUUCUUCCAGGCCUCAGGCCCCUCUCCUGAUGUCAGACCCUUCAAAGAUGACCACUACGGUGUUCAGCAGCUCCUCAGCACUGUGGAUGCAUCCCUACAAGGGCCAUGGAUUUGUGGCUAUCCCAUUUCCCCAGGUGAUCUCUAACCCAAUUCUCCCAGCCCAAGGGAGAAUCUUCCUUCCAACAUUCCUGAGGGGUAAUAAGCUGAUGAACCAGUCUGCCUAAAUAUUCAGUGGGAAGACCUUAUUGCCCAGUCCAGAGAUAUGACCCUAAAAGGAUGGUCUUGGACAAAGGUUCCAGAGGUGAGCACUCAGCAGCCACAGUCCCGAGCUGACUGCUGGCAGAGGGACUGCCCAGAUGCAUCCUGCCAUGGAACCCCAUUCCGUCUGUGCUUGGACUGUUCUUGGGCAUUAAACAGUCACAUUAAUGCACGAACACUGAGCCAGACAGGACUUGAUACUGCUUCCUGAGCAGGCACUGCCGAGAGGUGUCCUGGAAAAGAGGUGACGUUAGGGACUCAAGAAGCAACACAGCACUGCGUAGUUCCUGGACAUCACAGUUCCCAGCAGGGAGCAUGGUAGAGAAAAGCAGGCUUGAUACUCCUCAAAGAAGGAAAAGGAGCCCAGAGAAGAACUCAGUAGAUGGAGGGACCACAUCUCAUUUCAGCAUCAAAGAUGUGGGCUCACCACAGCUAGACAGGUGUGUGUCUGCAGGAAUCUCUGGGAGCUGGGAUGGUGCUCCAGAGGACACCAAUAAAGAGCAUGAAGCAGAGCUGGGGGAGAUGCUGGAGGGGCCUGCCCAGAGCAGGACCUUGACAAGGGACAAAGAGCGAGACAGAAAAGCAGCAACAUCCAGAAAGAGAAAAGAAACAGAGACAGAGAAGAGAGACAGAGAGAAGAUGACGGAGAGGGGAAGGGAAAGGAGAGAGAUGGAGUUAGAGACAGACACUCAAGCAACUUGUCUCCCUCCUGCAGCUGCUCCCCUAGCACUGUGGGGUCCCCGGGCCCAACACAACAGGUCAGCAAAAGGAUGAGGGGACUCUUGAUGUCCAAAGCAACAUCUGGAGCAUUCCACCUCCACUCUGUGCCCUUUUGCCUGGUCCUCCCGAGAGAGACAGAAAGCAAGGCACCAGAAGGAGCAAGGGCGAGGGUGACCAAGCACCUCCCCUAGCAGGGGGCUGGUGUUGUCUCUUCUACCUCCUCCUUUGGGAUCUCUCCUCCCCAGAGCUGGUGGCUGAGUUGGGAGCAGCAGCGGGCGCUUCUCACCUGAAACAUCUUGAUCAUGUCCUCGCAGUUCCGCUGCUGUGCCACAUCACACAGCUUGGCAGUGAUGUCGAUGCGACGGCAGAUGUCCAUGUCCACCUUCAUGGCCUUCUCCUGGAUCUUGGUGUCCAGCUCCGUGAUGUUCUGAACCCACGGCACCGCAGGAAGGGGACAAGGGAGGAAUAUUAGGCAAGACAGAUGGCAAUCAGUACCCCCAUGUUCCCCCUCAUCCCUGCUUUGCUCUCUGUGCCCCAGACCAACCCUGCCAGGGCUGGAUGGAACUGUUUUUCUACACGGCCACACCACGUGGGUAGGACACUGCUGAGGGGUUGGAGAGGGAUUAGGGACUCACAUUGCUCAUCAGUCCCUUGAAGACGACAAGCUCUGCCUUGAGCUGCUCCACCUUCAUGGCCAGCUCCUCCUGGCAAGCUUCAGCCUCCUGGGCUUCCUGAGCCAGGGAGAGAGAGAUGUGCAAAUCAGCACCAGUGGUGGGGCAGCUGGGGUGCAGGGGCAGGGCGAACAGCAAAGCUCACCUCCUGCAGCUCAGUCACCCGGUCCUGAAGCUGGACACGCACCGUGUACUCCUCUUCCCAUCUAGGGAGACAAACGCCGGUCAGAUCCCAUCGGCCUCGCCUCGCUGGCUGCCAAAGGGAGAGGACGGAGCGGCAGCUGCUCACCCCACAGCUAUCCAAGAGGGGGGGAUGGCAGCACCAGGCCGGGAAGGAGCCCAGGAAUGCAUGGCCUCUUGUUUUCGGGCCAUGGCAGCUGCCGAGCCCAUCAGGCCCCCGGCCACAAACGCUGCCCCACCCACCACGGCCGCCCGCCCUGUGCCGGGGGGAGCUGGGGACACCGACCGCAGGCUCGGCAGGGCAGCUGGGCUGCACGCCCUGCUGCAGCGGGGCUGGCCCACGGCCCCUCAGCCCUGGGUCACAGCAGCUCCAGCCCCCACAACAGCUCUGCAGAUGUACUGCGGAGUUGCCCCCAUCUGCAUCACUUCUGCGACCACGUUUGUGUGUCUGCGGCGCUGCAGUUCAGGCUGUCCAGAAGCACAAACCCUGAUCCUGACACCGAACCACCUCACAACGUCAGUGACCACGACGUGCACCAAGGGCUGCUCCUCUGCCUGUCCCAGAGCAGGAUGUGCCCAGGCUGCCCUGAGCCAGCCACGCUGCCUGGGCAGGGGCACAAGACUCCUUCGCUCUACUGCUGCGUAACAGGUUGGAUUAAAGAACACCGUGUCAUCCCACGAGGGAGCAGGAUGGAUUGUGCCACUUUAUGCCGGGCUGUCCGGUGGGUAUUGGGCUCUGCAGCUUUGCAAAAAGCGGAGCUGCAAGGUGCCCAGCCUUGCUGUGCAAAGACACAUCCCCUAGCAAUUAUUAUAUUACAUUUCACUGCAUGAGCUCAACCUCUUGGGUCUCACUGCAGCGUUGGCCCAGCCCCCGGUCUGUUGGGAGGCCAUCAAGCCGUCCUGCCCUUGGCUAAAGGAUGAUCCCAUAGAGCAAGGGGUUGGCAUGCGCUUCGGUGCGGCAUAGGGCAGGGCUGCUGCAUUCUUACCCAGCUCCUGGCUCUUCUGGGAGAGCCAGAUUUUUCUGAGAUAGCAAGAUCACUCUGGGAUAGCAACCAGAGCUGGGCUCUUCCUGGUGCUGUGAGGUCUGGUUUCUAUUUAAUGCCUGCAAGCACCAACACAGACACUCAGACUCUGCACAAGGAUGUGAAAAAUCUCUCCUCUCACUUACCCACACCAAGUUUGAACAAUAAAUCCUAAGGUCUAGAAGGCCAGAAAGCAUAUGAAAAGCCCUCACAUUUGUUAUCUCGGGGUAUCUGGACAAUCUGACGACGUGGGAGAGCCCUGGCUUGUGAAUUUCUGAGCUCUUAAAGCUAGCAAUGCUGCUCCUUACUCAAACAAGGACAAAAGUGUGCACUCCUCGUGUUGGUGUUGGAUCCAUACCACAGCUUCAGAAGGGAAAUCAAAGGGUGUUUCCAUCCCUUUGGGGAAAGAGA